rnacentral:rRNA from 1 species
UACGGAGGGUGCAAGCGUUAUCCGGAUUCACUGGGUUUAAAGGGUGCGUAGGUGGGCAAGUAAGUCAGUGGUGAAAUCUUCAGGCUUAACCUGGAAACUGCCAUUGAUACUAUUUAUCUUGAAUACUUUGGAGGUAAGCGGAAUAUGUCAUGUAGCGGUGAAAUGCUUAGAUAUGACAUAGAACACCAAUUGCGAAGGCAGCUUACUACACAGUAAUUGACACUGAGGCACGAAAGCGUGGGGAUCAAACAGG